UCUACGAAGUGUUAGCUUCGGCGGUGGU
rnacentral:sRNA from 1 species